UACAGGUCUGGGGAGAGCCGGAUGUGU
rnacentral:piRNA from 1 species